GCAAUUUNUGGUUGUUCAAUGCCAGGCAACUCUGAACCAGCCAUGCCGCGUGAAGGAAGAAUGUUCUAUGGAUUGUAAACUUCUUUUAUACUAGAAGAACUGUAGCUACGUGUAGUUACUUGACGGUAUAGUAUGAAUGAGGACCGGCUAACUCCGUGCCAGCAGCCGCGGUAAUACGGAGGGUCCAAGCGUUAUCCGGAAUCAUUGGGUUUAAAGGGUUCGUAGGCUGAUUUAUAAGUCAGAGGUGAAAGUUUGUCGCUCAACGAUAAAAUUGCCUUUGAUACUGUAAGUCUUGAGUAUCAAUGAAGUUGUUAGAAUGUGUAGUGUAGCGGUGAAAUGCAUAGAUAUUACACAGAAUACCGAUUGCGAAGGCAGAUGACUAAUUGAUUACUGACGCUGAUGAACGAAAGCGUGGGGAGCGAACGGGAUUAGAUACCCCGGUAGUCCACGCCGUAAACGAUGGAUACUAGUUGUUGGCAUUUGUCAGUGACUAAGCGAAAGUGAUAAGUAUCCCACCUGGGGAGUACGGUCGCAAGAUUGAAAACUUAAAGGAAUUGACGGA
rnacentral:rRNA from 1 species